CCUACGGGUGGCUGCAGUGGGGAAUAUUGGACAAUGGGCGAAAGCCUGAUCCAGCCAUGCCGCGUGUGUGAAGAAGGCCUUCGGGUUGUAAAGCACUUUCAGUGGGGAAGAAAGCCUUGGGGCUAAUACCCUCGAGGAAGGACAUCACCCACAGAAGAAGCACCGGCUAACUCCGUGCCAGCAGCCGCGGUAAUACGGAGGGUGCGAGCGUUAAUCGGAAUUACUGGGCGUAAAGCGCGCGUAGGCGGUCUGAUAAGCCGGUUGUGAAAGCCCCGGGCUCAACCUGGGAACGGCAUCCGGAACUGUCAGGCUAGAGUGCAGGAGAGGAAGGUAGAAUUCCCGGUGUAGCGGUGAAAUGCGUAGAGAUCGGGAGGAAUACCAGUGGCGAAGGCGGCCUUCUGGACUGACACUGACGCUGAGGUGUGAAAGCGUGGGUAGCAAACAGGAUUAGAUACCCUAGUAGUC
rnacentral:rRNA from 1 species